GCAUGUUUUGCUGGAAAUCCCUGUGUGCCUGAGGCCUUCUGAAGAGGAAAAUGAAACUUGGAAUGCUUUCUCCAUUAGCGCUGCUUAGCCUCGGAGUAAUAGCGGUGCUUGAGCGACUUGAAAGAAGAAACACUCUGCUCCAGCACAGCAACCAGAGCAGACAUGCUGCGUGGAGCAUGCUUAAAUCGCCAGGGAGCUGGGUGCCCCAGAAAGUUCCCCAUUAUGGCUAUUCUUUUGUGUUCUGGAUCACUGGGACAAGGCUGGCUUUUCUCCUGCCGCUACCUGUUGCUCUGAAUGGAUUCGGUGAAAGGAAGCUUUGGGAUGGCAACACUGAAAUUCUAAGCCCUGCAAGAAGAGGCGACGUCACAGCACAGACAUUUGUGAGCAGCUGUGUUCAAGGGUGAAGCACAGGAAGAGUAACGUUUCAUCCAACAUCACUGAUGAACACCAUCAGACCUCACUGAGAGCUGCAGCCACUGCCGCCGAACCACACUGAUGUGUUAGCAAGGUCAAAUAUCCC
ensembl:lncRNA